AAGUCGCCAAGCAGCACAUUACGAGAAAAAGAAGGUAACAAUACAAGGUGGAACAGAGCUCACUUCACGCACAUCGCUACACUCAGGACUACGCAUACACGCAUACGCGUGUUCUCCAUCUUCCGCGGCCUACACCACUUGCAUCCUUAGCAAGGUAUCCACUCUCAUUAUCGCGAUUACCAGCAUCUCCAUUUUCUUCCCCAAACCCAGCAAGAUUGCAACUGUCUCCCCCCGCCUGCGUGAUCCAUGCCCGCGUCUGUGCACAGCGACGACAGCGAGAGCCGCAAGAAGACUGCCCGGAACAGCGACGGCGAUAGCGGUGAUCGCAUCAUCGACGGACUCCGCUACCCGCGUCCGGGGCGUCAGAUUGAUCAGUUUGGGUUUGAGCUGACCACCCACAGCUUGCACUUCCACGGGUGUGAUUGGGAUAUCCCGUUGACGCAGAAGCGCGAUGAGCUGACGAAGGCCUUCAUGCAGGAUGCCGCGGAGGCCACAAACGAGCCAGAGGAGAACAUCCGCAACCUUCGCUUCAUUGUUACGCCGACACACCUCGACGCGAAGUUCACGGUGCGCCACAAGGUCCACGUGUCGAAGGACAAGGUGCACAAGAUGCUCUCUUCCUCCAAGUGGACGCUUGUGAAGGCACUAUAUGAGCCUCGGCAGAAGAUGCGGCGGCCGAAUAAACCGGCCAAGGCCCGCGCCGGCCACAGGGGAGCCCAGGACGACCAGCCGAUGCUUGGUUCGAACCGACGAACACCUUCGCAUAACCUUAGCUUCUUUGGUCGCGCCAACGUCGGCGCCGAGGGCCCUGAGUUCGAGGACCACGCCGACGACGGUGAGGAGCCCGUGGCGUACGAGCAUCAACUGGACGCGAAGAUGCGGCGCACGACAAGUGGGCUCUUCAUCUCCGUCGGCCUUGCUGCAUAGAGAAGGGGCGGAAGAAGGGACAGACAACGAAUAGGGGCACUUUAAGAAAAAAGGGAGAGAGAUGGAUGACGUGUGAGUGAGGAGGAGCCUGUGAGUGGAUCCGCCAUCACACACACACACACACACACCGGCGUACUUCCAGACACACCCACACGGUGAUGCAUUUGUGUGUGCGUCUUGGUGUCUGUCUCUCCUACCUGCGUGCAUUGCCGCUCCUGUGUAUCCGUGCUUGCUCACUGCUGAAUACUUCUUAUUUUUUCAUUUGUUCCCUUCUAUGCCCUGCAUUGCCUCGCUCUGAUUGCUGGCAUUUUACUUAGUCGUGUGUCCUGCAGCAAAGACGAGAAAGGGUGUACUUCACUUCUGUCCCACGCCUUCUCUCUAGCCCGUCUCGUCCGUGCCGUCGUUGCCCCUUUCUUUUUGUUCUCGUGGCUGGGAAGGGCCACCCGACCCCUCCCCCCCUCCGUCUCUCGCAUGUAGUGCAGUGUCGUGCCGCGUAUGUGUGCGCGCGUGUGUAUCUAUUUGCUCUCUUGCAGUGUAGCUGACGUCUAUUCCCCGUGCGCUGCUCUUCACGCGCAUGGGAGAUGCUGAAGGACGCGUCGCAGAUGUCCUUUUUUGUUCUUUCUUCAUUGCUUCUCCCGAUCAUUUUUGCAUCCCUGCAUCACGUACAGCUUCCCCUUUCAAGCUCACACGAGCCGGCGCAGGCACACAAACACACAGAGUGUAUCGCCUGAUGCUAUUCCAUUAUCUGGCCUCUCCCUUCCUCGUUUGCCGACAGCGCCAUCCCCCUCAACACACAGACACCAACCAAUAACCCCCCUUCCCCCACGAAACUCAGGGCUGUGCUACUCUUUGCACAGCAGGAAGAGCUUGCGCCGCUGAUCUCCACAAGGCGAAUAAGCGUAGAAGGCCGCCUCGGUGUCUGUGCGUGGUGCUUAGUUUGCACCUGCUUCUCGCCUAUUUUCUUCCCCCAUCUCAUUUUCUACGCGCACGUGCGCGUGCUCCGCUUCGUCGCUCUUGUAUGUCUUCACCACCCCCUCCCCUACUUGCCGAUAGUGUUCAUGGCUUCUGUUAUUAUGGGUGUUAUCGUGACUAGGUGUUGUGUGGAGUCGUUGCUGCGCUGUGGCGGAGUAGUUUACAUCUCUCCCUCUCCCUCAGCCUGUAUUGCCUCUUUUUUUUUCUCUCGUGUCUGCCAUUUCGUGGUCGCCGCACGCCGCGUCCCCUCGUCGACUCUGUCACGGACUCACGCUCCCUUCCUCCACGGCUGCUUUCCUUUCACACAUGGGAGGUUUUCACCUUUGGCGCGCCUCUGCGGCGGCCGCUUUUUUUUUCUUCGUCGUUUUGUUUUUUCCUCAUUCGCUUCCGUUGUCGUUUCGUCUCUCACCUCUCGCACGUGUCGUGGUUGAGGGUUGCGGGUGGGAUGAUGUCUCCGUGUGACGGUCUCUCCCCUCCUCGAGGUGUUCUGUGUGUGCCUGAUACGCAAACACAUGCACAGUGAGCGAGAGCGAGCGCGGGCCCUCAUAGACAUGCGCACACCCGCUUACCCCCUUCAUGCACCGCCACUAUAUCAGUUGUCUGCCGAUCG
rnacentral:misc_RNA from 1 species